UAAAGAUCAAACUCUAAUUGUGGGUGCAUUUUUAAGCUUCAAUAUGCAGAAAUCUUCUCCCUCUUGCUCCCAAUUGAGUGGUUAGGGACCUCUUCUUGGACUCCCAUUCCAAGUCAAUUCCUGAUUUUCCUCUUCUUUCCUUCUUAAAUAAGGUAAUCUCUACUUAUUUAGACUUCUUUCGACCUUAGGAGACUCUUCUCCAAGUAAGA
rnacentral:misc_RNA from 1 species